GGCCCCGUAGUUAAAUUGGAUAGAAUGCGAGAUUCCGGUUCUUGUGGUGGGGGUUCAAGUCCCUCCGGGGUCA
rnacentral:tRNA from 1 species